AACGUAGGAGACAAGCGUUAUCCGGAGUUACUGGGCGUAAAGGGCGUGUAGGUGGUUUCGUAAGUCUGGCGUGAAAUUUCUCGGCUUAACCGAGGCAGGUCGUCGGAUACUGCGAGGCUAGAGGACGGUAGAGGCGUGUGGAAUUCCGGGUGUAGUGGUGAAAUGCGUAGAUAUCGGGAGGAGCACCAGUGGCGAAGGCGACUUCCUGGCCUGUUCUUGACGCUGAGGCGCGAAAGCUAGGGGAGCAAACGGG
rnacentral:rRNA from 1 species